CAGGCAUUUGAAAGAAGUUGAUUACAACCCUCCUGGGUGACUCUGAGGGGUUCAGGACUUCAGUGGAGGAAGUAACUGCAGAUGUGGAAAUAGCAAGAG